AUGAUCUCAGCUCCCACCCUGUGGUGCCCAAAGGGCUUUUCUUCCAGUCUCCCAACAUGUGCAUCGCUCCUCUCUGAGAGCCAUCCGAGGGAUCUAUUUACAUCUCUGGGUGCUGAAACAUCAGGAUGGCAUUCGGCACCCUGGGGGUGGUCCGAGCUGCGGAGAGGUAGAGGGACAAGUCACAGGCUCUACCGUCCUCACCCUGCCUCCUUACAGGCCAUUUUCAAUCCCUUGCUACUGCUGCAGAUUGUAAUCAGAGUCCCCGCUGGGGUCACACUGGGUGAGGUUGGGCGUGAGAUCAAGGUAAGUGCCUUCCCCCAACCAAGAACCAAUCUAGGAAGCAGCAAGAUGUGAGGAGAGCACUAGCCUCAGAGGCCAGGCCAAGCCGCUGCCUGGCCUUGGCCUCUAAUCUCUAAAACGAGGGGGCUGCACUGGAUGAUGUUCUUACCACCUCCACCUCCUGGAGGGUAAGGUCAAAGAUGCUAAUUUAGGCCCGAACUCUUUGAUGCCCUCCUAAUCUCCCACACCCUUGCUCUGGCUUCUCUUCUGGCCAACGUGUUUUAUUUGAAAAGCUUUUUCCCCCAAGUCUAAUUCCAUUGCCUCUCUUCCCCCAGCAGGUCAAACCCUCUUUUCUCAUAUUUCUCUGCCUGCUCUGAGCGCCACACACGCGUGUGCCUUUGGAUCUCUCUCCCAGCUCCGUCCUGAGGGUUCAGUGGGCCGGGACUGAACUCUGACCCUCUUUCCUCUUGGCCUAGUCAGACUUCUGUUGGCUUUUUUAUGUUUUAGCUUCUUCUUGAAUUAGAUAUUAAAGAAGAUUUAACACACAUCCACAAAACAAUCCUGCAUGGGAAGCUCUGGUCAAAACUUCUUUGGCACAAACACAGCAUUUCCACGGCUUGUCGCUUUCCUGAUCCUCUAGGGCUGGCCCAGUGCCACACUGGGGAAUUUCAGCUCUGAAGCCCAGAGAGAACUUUGCUGUCCCAGCUCCUGAGGUCUGGGUCAUCUCCAGCACCACCACAUUAAGACUGCAGCCUACUGAAAUCUGCCCCUCCCUCCCUAGCCCCUGCAGACUUGCUGUCAUAAGCAAGGAUCUGUGAGGCUUCUGUCAGCUGAGUCUGGGUUUUUUUUAAGCUCCCAGCUCCAGACAGAGCCUUUAGAAAUCUGGCUCCCCAAGUCCGGGGUGGUAUCCAGGGCUCCAAACUCAGUUUUAGUUAGGUUCACUAUAAUGGGGAUAAUUUACUCUUUCCCUCUGGUUUCAGAUUAAGGUUUUUUUUUUUUUUUUUAAAGAUUUUAUUUUUCCUUUUUCUCCCAAAGCCCCCUGGUACAUAGUUGUGUAUUUUUAGUUGUGGGUCCUUCUAGCUGUGGCAUGUGGAAUGCCGCCUCAGCAUGGCCUGAUGAGCGGUGCCAUCUCUGUGCCCAGGAUCCGAACUGGCGAAACCCUGGGCCGCGGAAGCAGAGCGCGAGAAUUUAACCACUCGGCCACGGGGCCGGCUCCCAGAUUAAGGUUUGCUAAUAAAUAGUAAAUCCUUUCUUUGUAGGAGAACUUA
rnacentral:lncRNA from 1 species